GUGAGGAAUUUUCCGCAAUGGGCGAAAGUCUGACGGAGCAAUGCCGCGUGAAGGAUGAAGGCCUAUGGGUUGUAAACUUCUUUUCUCAGAAAAGAAUUAUGACGGUAUCUGAGGAAUAAGCAUCGGCUAACUCUGUGCCAGCAGCCGCGGUAAGACAGAGGAUGCAAGCGUUAUCCGGAAUGAUUGGGCGUAAAGCGGCGGUAGGUUGUUUAAAAAGUAUUCUGUCAAAGAUUAGGGCUUAACCCUAGAUAGGCAGAAUAAACUUUUAAGCUAGAGUUUGGUAGAGGCAGAGGGAAUUCCCGGUGGAGCGGUGAAAUGCGUAGAUAUCGGGAGGAACACCAAAGGCGAAGGCACUCUGCUGGGCCAAUACUAACACUGAGAUACGAAAGCGAGGGUAGCAAACAGGAUUAGAUACCCCAGUAGUCC
rnacentral:rRNA from 1 species